rnacentral:misc_RNA from 2 species
UGUGGGAGCGAGCUUGCUCGCGAUGGCGGAGUGUCAGGCACUGAGGUGUUGAAUGUGCCGGCCUCAUCGCGAGCAAGCUCGCUCCCACA